GAUUCCCCUAGUAACUGCGAGUGAAGCGGGAAAAGCUCAAAUUUAAAAUCUGGCGGUCUUUGGCCGUCCGAGUUGUAGUCUGGAGAAGCGUCUUCCGCGUUGGACCGUGUACAAGUCUCUUGGAACAGAGCGUCAUAGAGGGUGAGAAUCCCGUCUUUGACACGGACUACCAAUGCUUUGUGAUGCGCUCUCAAAGAGUCGCGUUGUUUGGGAAUGCAGCGCAAAAUGGGAGGUGAAUUCCUUCUAAAGCUAAAUAUUGGCGAGAGACCGAUAGCGAACAAGUACCGUGAGGGAAAGAUGAAAAGCACUUUGGAAAGAGAGUUAAACAGUACGUGAAAUUGCUAAAAGGGAAACGCUUGAAGUCAGUCGCGUCGUCCGGAACUCAGCUUNGCUUCGGCUUAGUGCACUUUCCGGUUGACGGGCCAGCAUCGAUUUUGACCGCUGGAAAAGGGCUGGAGGAAUGUGGCACCUUCGGGUGUGUUAUAGCCUUCAGUCGCAUACAGCGGUUGGGAUCGAGGAACGCAGCACGCCUUAUGGCUGGGGUUCGCCCACAUUCGCGCUUAGGAUGCUGGCAUAAUGGCU
rnacentral:rRNA from 1 species